rnacentral:lncRNA from 1 species
UUUGGGAGGCUGAGGCGGACAGAUCACCUGAGGUCAGGAGUUCAAGACCAGCCUGGCCAACAUGGCAAAACCCUGUCUCUACUAAAAACACAAAAAUUAGCUAGGUGUGGUGGCACACACCUGUAAUCCCAGCUACUCAGGAGCCCGAGGCAGGAGAACCACUUGAACCAGGGAGGUGGAGGUUGCAGUGAGUCAAGACUGUGCCACUGCAUUUCAGCCUGGGAAACAGAGUAAGACUCCAUCCCCCACUCCCCAGUACACCCCCCACUAUUGCUAUUUCAGUGAGCUCAAGUGUUGAGAGUAUCCACCUAAAACGCCAUGUGACAAUAAUCAUCUCCAAGUGAACAGUAUAUCUCUCCAGUAAAUUGUGUAUCAUAGUAAAAAGUGAUCUCUAGCGGUUCUCGUGGAUUUUUCAUCAUGUUUGGUGCAAUACCAUAAACCUUGAAUAACUCCAUGGGACCCAUACAAAAUGCCAUUAGUGAUGUUGGAAGUGCUCCCAAGAAGCAGAGAAAGGUCAUGGCAUUACAAGAAAAAGUCGAGUUGCAGGAUAUGUAUCUUGGAUUGAGGUCUGCAGCUGCAGUUGCCCACCGUUUCAGACAGAUGAUUCAUCUUGUAAACAGACUAUGUAAACUUACAGUAUAGAUCAAUACAGUAUAGUACUAGAAAUGUAUUUUCUCUUCCUUAUGGUUUUCUUAAUUACAUUUUCUUUUCUCUAGCUUACUUUAUUGUAAGACUACAGUAUACAAUACAUAUCAUAUACAAAAUAUGUGUCAGCUGACUAUUUAUGUUAUCGGUAAGGCUUCCAGUCAACAGUAGGCUAUUAGUAGUUAAGUUUUGGGGGAACCAAAAGUUAUAUACACAUUUUUGACUGUACAGGGGGAGGGAGUUGUCAGUUCCCCUAAUCCCUACACUGCUCAAGGGCCAACUGUAUAUACAUACCAACAUCAUCAGACAAGAUCAGAGAAAUGAGAUAGAUGAACAAUUUCGGCAAAUUGUAAAGUUAUUAUUUUUCCUCUGUCUCCCCCUUUUCCCUACUGAUCCUCAUAGUUCUUCUCUUAGUGUCUAAUAAGUGUGUCUCCUUGACACUGAUAUCAGUUAAGGUUCAAUUUAGCAGCAUAUUAACAGGACCAAAAUAAUACUCAAACAAAAUAGAGCUUAUUUUACUUCUUGUAUAAAAUGAGUCCAGAGGUGGAGAGUACCAGGCUGCUAUGGCAGCCCCACAAAGUCACCAGCAACCCAGGCUGUUUCUAGCCUUCUUCUCUGCCAACUUUAACAUGUGGCUUUCAUCUUCAAGAUUGCUUCAUGGUGACAACAUAGCUGCUGCAGCCCCAACCACAACAUCUACAUUUCAGGAAGGAAGAACUGAAGAAAAGGAAAUGGCCAAAGGGUUCCUAUCUCCCAUUUGGCCCAGCCUCCCUUAAAGAAAUUUCCUGGAAGCACCAACAAUACUUCUACUUACAUUUCACUGGCCACUCAUGUCCAC